GAUCCUGUUGGACGACAAACGCUGGCGGCGUGCUUAACACAUGUACGUUGAACGGAGUAGUUUAUUUCGGUAAAAUACUUAGUGGUUAACGGGUGAGUAAUGCGUAGACAACCUACCUUUUAGAUGGGGACAAUAUCUGGAAAGCGGUGCUAAAACCGAAUGUUGUGUCUUUUCCACAUGGGAAAGCUACUAAAGAUGGCCUCUAUUUAUAAGCUGUCACUAAAAGAUGGGUCUGCGUCUGAUUAGCUAGUUGGUGGGGUAAAUGCCCACCAAGGCGACGAUCAGUAGCCGGUCUGAGAGGAUGAACGGCCACAUUGGGACUGAGACACGGCCCAAACUCCUACGGGAGGCAGCAGUGGGGAAUCUUCCGCAAUGGACGAAAGUCUGACGGAGCAACGCCGCGUGAGUGAAGAAGGUUUUCGGAUCGUAAAGCUCUGUUGUUUGAGACGAACGUGCAGUAUACGAAUAAUGUGCUGUAAUGACGGUAUCAAACUAGAAAGCCACGGCUAACUACGUGCCAGCAGCCGCGGUAAUACGUAGGUGGCAAGCGUUGUCCGGAAUUAUUGGGCGUAAAGGGAGCGCAGGUGGGAAUGUAAGUCAGUCUUAAAAGUGCGGGGCUCAACCCCGUGAUGGGACAGAAACUACAUUUCUUGAGUGCAGGAGAGGAAAGUGGAAUUCCUAGUGUAGCGGUGAAAUGCGUAGAUAUUAGGAGGAACACCAGUGGCGAAGGCGACUUUCUGGACUGUAACUGACACUGAGGCUCGAAAGCUAGGGGAGCGAAACGGGAUUAGAUACCCCGGUAGUCCUAGCCCGUAAACGAUGAAUACUAGGUG
rnacentral:rRNA from 1 species